rnacentral:rRNA from 1 species
AAAUUGAAGAGUUUGAUCAUGGCUCAGAUUGAACGCUGGCGGCAGGCCUAACACAUGCAAGUCGAACGGUAACAGGAAGCAGCUUGCUGUUUUGCUGACGAGUGGCGGACGGGUGAGUAAUGUCUAGGAAACUGCCCGAUGGGGGGGGAUAACUACUGGAAACGGUAGCUAAUACCGCAUAACGGCGCAA